rnacentral:rRNA from 1 species
AACGAACGCUGGCGGCAGGCCUAACACAUGCAAGUCGAGCGCGCGCUUCGGGGUGAGCGGCGGAUGGGGGUGUAACGCGUGGGAACGUGCCCUUUUCUAUGGAAUAGCCUCGGGAAACUGAGAGUAAUGCCGUAUACGCCCUUUUGGGGAAAGAUUUAUCGGAAAAGGAUCGGCCGGCGUUGGAUUAGGUAGUUGGUGGGGUAAUGGCGUACCAAGCCGUGGAUCCAUAGCUGGUUUGAGAGGAUGCGCAGCCACACUGGGAGUAGGAAACGGCCCAGACUCCUACGGGAGGCAGCAGAGGCGAAUCUUAGAAAAUCGGGGCAACGAUGAACGAGCCAUGCCGGGUGAGUGAUGAAGGUCUUAGGGUAGUAAAGCUCUUUAAGCUGGGAAGAUAAUGACGGUACCAGCAGAAGAAGCCCCGGCUAACUCCGUG